rnacentral:rRNA from 1 species
UACGUAGGGGGCAAGCGUUGUCCGGAUUCAUUGGGCGUAAAGAGCGUGUAGGCGGCCAGGUAGGUCGGUUGUGAAAACUGGAGGCUCAACCUUCAGAGGUCGACCGAAACCAUCUGGCUAGAGUUCGGGAGAGGAGCGUGGAAUUCCCAGUGUAGAGGUGAAAUUCGUAGAUAUUGGGAAGAACACCGGUGGCGAAGGCGGCGCUCUGGACCGAGACUGACGCUGAGGCGCGAAAGCGUGGGGAGCAAACAGG